UCAGACGAUGCGUCAUGCAUAUCAAUAAGCGGAGGAAAAGAAACUAACAAGGAUUCCCUCAGUAACGGCGAGUGAAGCGGGAAGAGCUCAAAUUUGAAACCUUGAAAGGUCACCUUUCACGAAUUGUAGUUUAAAGAAGUGUUUUCUGUUACGAUCGUAAUAUAAGUUCUUUGGAAUAGGACAUCACAGAGGGUGAGAAUCCCGUCUAUGAUUGCGAUUUGUAGCUUUGUGAUACACUUUCAAAGAGUCGGGUUGUUUGGGAAUGCAGCCCAAAACGGGAGGUAAAUUUCCUCUAAGGCUAAAUAUUGGCGAGAGACCGAUAGCGAACAAGUACCGUGAGGGAAAGAUGAAAAGAACUUUGAAAAGAGAGUUAAAUAGUACGUGAAAUUGUCAAAAGGGAAGCGUUUAACACCAGUGUUGUUUUCUCGAAAAUCAAUUAAAAAUGGCUCGAUUUUGUAUUGUUUGAGACCUUAAAAGCUCACUGUACAUUUUUCGUGUCUUUUUUAAUGCACUUUUCGUUUAACAAGUCAACAUCAGUUUCUUUUGUUGUAAAAGGGUCAUUGGAAGGUGGCUUUCUUUUCGGAGAAAGUGUUUAUAGCCUUUGGCCUCUGCAAUCGGAGAGACUGAGGUCUGCAGCGUAGACUCUUCGGGGUUAGAUACAUUUGUGCUAAGUUAUAGCUUUUUAUAGACAACUUGUUGACUAUAAUUAGUCUUGUAGCUUACUCGCUUAUGCUAUUUUACCUACGCUUAGGAUGUUGACUGAUAUGUAGUCGU
rnacentral:rRNA from 1 species